CCAUCUUCGCUCUUCUUCUCUCUCUCUCUGCGUCUACCUGAUUUAGUGUAAAAGAGGAGAGAGAGAGGGGGGAGAGAGAGAGAGAGAGGGAGAGGCAGAGAGGGAAGCAAGAAAAGCUUUGAGUAUCCGAAAGACGCUCUCCUCUCUAUUCGUCUUCUCUUCUCUUUUCGUCUUUUUCUCUCUGGCUCUGCUUGUGUAGAGUACAGAGAAACCGAAAAACGCUGUCUUUGCUCACUUAUUUCGCCAUGAUCUCGUUGAACCGAAGCUGUUAUUUGAAUAAAACAGACCUGCCUGGGUCUCAUAGUCCUUUGUCUUCUAGGCAUAAAAAACUAUUCCCUGCUACAGUGAGAGUGGUGGCUGCCUCGUCUUCCAAUAGAGACCGUAACGCCAGCGUCGUGAUGGA